CCAUGGUGUGGUUAAGCUAUGGACAAUGGGAGGGAAGUAGCUAUAUUUUGAUGCUACUGCAGAAAGCGUAGGAUCAAGUAACUCCCAGCUUUCUCCUUACAGGCUGCUAAGAACGUAGCUGGGAGCGUUCCUGGGGCUUCUGGGAGUGUAUCUGGAAGCGUCUCUGGGACCCUGGAAUGAUUGAUUAAUAAGACACACUGAUGAAACCAGAUUUGAUGAACCGGCGACGAUGCCAUUACGCUUCCCGUGCUGUUGCCUCUCAC